UAGUCAUAUGCUUGUCUCAAAGAUUAAGCCAUGCAUGUCUAAGUAUAAGCAACUAUACUGUGAAACUGCGAAUGGCUCAUUAAAUCAGUUAUCGUUUAUUUGAUAGUACCUUUACCUGGAUAACCGUGGUAAUUCUAGAGCUAAUACAUGCUAAAAACCUCGACUUCGGAAGGGGUGUAUUUAUUAGAUAAAAAACCAAUGCCCUUCGGGGCUCCUUGGUGAAUCAUAAUAACUUAACGAAUCGCAUGGCCUUGCGCCGGCGAUGGUUCAUUCAAAUUUCUGCCCUAUCAACUUUCGAUGGUAAGAUAGAGGCUUACCAUGGUCUUAACGGGUAACGGGGAAUUAGGGUUCUAUUCCGGAGAGGGAGCCUGAGAAACGACUACCACAUCCAAGGAAGGCAGCAGGCGCGCAAAUUACCCAAUCCCGACACGGGGAGGUAGUGACAAUAAAUACUGAUACGGGGCUCUUUUGGGUCUCGUAAUUGGAAUGAGUACAAUCUAAAUCCCUUAACGAGGAACAAUU
rnacentral:rRNA from 1 species